rnacentral:tRNA from 1 species
GGGGUUGUGGCUCAGUGGCAGAGUGCUUGCCUUACAAGUGUGAUGCACUGGGUUUGAUCCCCAGCACCACA